AGAGUUUGAUCCUGGCUCAGAACGAACGCUGGCGGCGUGGAUAAGACAUGCAAGUCGAGCGAGAUUUUUCGUUGUAGCAAUACGAUGGAAAGUCUAGCGGCGAACGGGUGCUUAACACGUGGGCAACCUGCCAUGAAGUGGGGGAUAGCUCGCCGAAAGGCGAAUUAAUACCGCAUGUGAUUAGAGAGGACAUCCUUUCGAAAUUAAAGUCGGGGCAACCUGACGCUUCUUGUGGGGCCCGCGGCCUAUCAGCUAGUUGGUGAGGUAACGGCUCACCAAGGCUUUGACGGGUAGCUGGUCUGAGAGGACGACCAGCCACACUGGGACUGAGACACGGCCCAGACACCUACGGGUGGCAGCAGUUGAGAAUUUUUGACAAUGGGGGAAACCCUGAUCGAGCGACGCCGCGUGGAGGAUGAAGGUCUUCGGAUUGUAAACUCCUGUCAUUUGGGAACAAGGUGCACACGUUAACUGCGUGUGCAUUGAUAGUACCAGAAGAGGAAGAGACGGCUAACUCUGUGCCAGCAGCCGCGGUAAUACAGAGGUCUCAAGCGUUGUUCGGAUUCAUUGGGCGUAAAGGGUGCGUAGGCGGCGCGGUAAGUCGGGUGUGAAAUCUCGGAGCUUAACUCCGAAACUGCAUUCGAUACUGCCGUGCUUGAGGACUGGAGAGGAGACUGGAAUUUACGGUGUAGCGGUGAAAUGCGUAGAUAUCGUAAGGAAGACCAGUGGCGAAGGCGGGUCUCUGGACAGUUCCUGACGCUGAGGCACGAAGGCCAGGGGAGCAAACGGGAUUAGAUACCCCAGUAGUCC
rnacentral:rRNA from 1 species